CCUACGGGGGGCAGCAGUGGGGAAUAUUGGACAAUGGGCGAAAGCCUGAUCCAGCCAUGCCGCGUGUGUGAAGAAGGCCUUCGGGUGUAAAGCACUUUCAGUGGGGAAGAAAGCCUUGGGGCUAAUACCCUCGAGGAAGGACAUCACCCACAGAAGAAGCACCGGCUAACUCCGUGCCAGCAGCCGCGGUAAUACGGAGGGUGCGAGCGUUAAUCGGAAUUACUGGGCGUAAAGCGCGCGUAGGCGGUCUGAUAAGCCGGUUGUGAAAGCCCCGGGCUCAACCUGGGAACGGCAUCCGGAACUGUCAGGCUAGAGUGCAGGAGAGGAAGGUAGAAUUCCCGGUGUAGCGGUGAAAUGCGUAGAGAUCGGGAGGAAUACCAGUGGCGAAGGCGGCCUUCUGGACUGACACUGACGCUGAGGUGCGAAAGCGUGGGUAGCAAACAGGAUUAGAUACCCUGGAGUC
rnacentral:rRNA from 1 species